rnacentral:snRNA from 1 species
AAACCUAAGGGCCACUUAGCCAUAACUGCCACCUCAUUGAGUGCAGGUGGAGAUUUGCUGCUGUGCUUGGCUGUGGUAGAGGCCUCUUUCAUCUCUUACUGUUUUAGGUCCAUCCUUUCUUCUUAAGAGCUUAGGAAAGAAAAACAACAUUCAAAGGUAGAGGAGGACUGUGUUGGGGUCAAAGAUAUUCAGGUGUCUCAUGUCUCUGCUUGAGAUUUUUGAUCAAGUUCUCAAGGUUUAAUUGUAGGAGACUAACGGAAGUCAAGUAUACAGGACUGAAUCUUUUAUCUAUUCUAAGCCCUAGUUUCCUCAUA